CAUGUUUUUUUGGGUGAAAGUGUUUUUACGAAGGAAAUUAUAUUUUCUAACACGCCCUUGAAUUUUAAUAGCGUUUAGCUCACAAAAUAGGGAAUAUUUUAGAUCAUCACCCUAAAGCGAUGUUUACCAUCUCAUUUAUAAUCAUUAGAAAAGUUUAAAUAGGGCUAAAUUAUAUUUUGCCCUCUCAAAUUUAGAGUCGAUUUCAAUUCCUUACAAUAUCUUUAAAAUAUUUUACCUUUAUACCUCACCUACUAUUUUAUUUCAAUUUCAUACAUCUGUUAGAAAACUCAAACUAUAUGAAUGUUGUAGGUUAAUAUAUUUAAUAUUACUCUCAAAUUUGUUAUCAGAACCAACUCUAUCUUAAACCCAAUCUAUAUACCAAUUCCAGAUCUGAUACCACCAACCACCCAAUCUCACCCAUUCGAUUCCUUCGGCGGUUUCUCUGAAAUCUCCAAACUACUCAUUUCUCUCUCCAAAGCCCCGGCGCCCUCUUCUUCGAAAUCGCAACCGUCUUCUGUCCGGCGCCCACAUAAGAACUCGUCACUGAUGCAGAGCCCGCCGAAAGCUUUCCCUAGAGAACGACAUGUCGGUCGCCGUCCCCAUGGCCUCGCCUAGUCGCCGGCUCGACUUGGAUGACCAGCCAUUCCUCAAUUCCAGGAUUAGUGCAAGAGAAAGGGAUAUGUUGAUAACUAGGAGGCAAGCAUGCCUUCUCCAAGCAUGACCAAGCAUAGAACGAGCAGUGUGAAAAUUUUCGGGGUCGAAUUGUGCCUGACAAUGUGGUUGUUGCCAUGGUAUUUUGUUCAAGGUGUCCUAGGCCUUGCAGGGCUUGCUGUCAGUUUUUAACUUUCCAUUUAAAAGACGAUUUGCAUCUCAACCUGGCUGAGGUACAUUUACAUUCACACUUUCUGUUGUUUUUCGGAACUGGCUUGCUUUACAUUUGUAGCUGUAGUUAUUAAAAGUGGCAUUCUUGAUGAAUUGUGAACUUAAAUUGACGUUGGUAUGCACUAAUCGGUAAAGAAUUUGCUUUGAGGAUUCUGAUUUGUAUGAAAAUGGUGCUAACGGGGUACGAUAAUGGGAUUCUAGCUUUGAAUUAUUGAUGUGAGACAUUGUUUUUCUUUGAUAAGUGAAUUGUUUGUAUAGUUUUGGUUUCUGACAAAUUUACAUGUGAAGGAUCUCCCUCAAUUUGUCUCACUCUCAUUUUCAAUUUUGAUGUCCUCGAAGACUCAACGAUGCUAUCUUUGAACCUAUUUUUGUUUGUUUUCCUAAUUUUUUGGCCUUUUGUUUAUAAAAAAAAAUCUUUGUUUAUGGUAUUGGUUUGGUUAAUCUUGUAUAGUAUAUAUUUGCAGAAUUAUACGUAGUGGCUCUAUUUAGUAGGUUCAUAAUUUAAUCAUGUGUUUAUUUUCUCAAAGGACUCCUCUUAUUAAAAUUUUGUCAAGAGUUCAAUUUCAAAGGAAUGCUUGAGUAGAAAGGUUUAGAGGCAGAAACUCUAUUCACUUUUCUUGAUUGAGAUCAAAUGUAUAUUUCCACCUAUACGAGUACAAGAUGUUUUUUCUUGUGAUCCAUAUGCUUAUGUCCAUGCAAAUAGAGAGACAGCAAUUGCUAAGGCGCAAGUGUUGGGGGCAGUAGUUCAUUCUCAAGGUCCUUUGUUUGGACAUGUUCAAAGAAAUGUGAAAUCUUCAAGUGUUCUUGUUAUUGGAGGCCUAUUUGAUCCUAUGUGGAUAGUUUGAUAUUUCUAGUAUAACUCAUCGUUAGCUUUAGUGUGCACUUUAUAAUAUUUGAUUUUGCGAUUUGUUUAUAUAAUUAUUAUAUUGUA